AAUAAGCGGAGGAAAAGAA
rnacentral:ncRNA from 2 species